UCGAGAAUCUUCGGCAAUGGACGCAAGUCUGACCGAGCGACGCCGCGUGCGGGAUGAAGGUCUUCGGAUUGUAAACCGCUGUCAGAGGGGAUGAAGUGUACGGGAGUUAUCUCCUGUAUUUGACAGAGCCUCAGAGGAAGCACGGGCUAAGUUCGUGCCAGCAGCCGCGGUAAUACGAACUGUGCGAACGUUAUUCGGAAUCACUGGGCUUAAAGGGUGCGUAGGCGGCUAUCUAAGUCAGGUGUGAAAUCUCUCGGCUCAACCGGGAAACUGCGCUUGAUACUGGAUGGCUUGAGUGAGGUAGGGGUGUGUGGAACUUCCGGUGGAGCGGUGAAAUGUGUAGAUAUCGGAAGGAACGCCAGCAGCGAAAGCGGCACACUGGGCCUUUUCUGACGCUGAG
rnacentral:rRNA from 1 species